rnacentral:rRNA from 1 species
AUGAACAAAUACGAGCUGCCAAACGUGAAGUCAAAGUCGUCGUCCACGCACUCCACCGCUGAUGUGCCUGCAUGGAUGUAUCCUCUCUCCACAAGCUCCACUUUUUGUCCUACUAGUGCUGUUCCCAGCUCGCUCACCGCUGACCACCACCCACCGGCACCAGCGCAGCGGCCAACCACCAUGCAUCAUCCCUCGCCCUUCCUCCUCCUCCUCCUCGCCGCCUCGCCUCUGGUCGCCACUGCGGCGACGUUCAACUGCGUCGGCGGGGUAUACAAGGCCAACAGCACCUACGAGGCCAACCUCCGCCGCCUGGCCGCCGUGCUCCCGGCCGAGACCGCCGCCUCCCAAGACCUCCAGGCGACCCGCGGCGCGGGGUACUGGCCCAACCGGCCGCGGGCCUCCUCGCGGUGCUACUGGGGCGUCAGCCCUUCGUCCUGCGCCGCCUGCGUUGCCGGCGCCUUCCGGGAGGCGGAGCGGGCGUGCCCGCACGGCAAGAAGGCGGUCGUCUUCGCCCGCAACUGCACCCUCAGCCUCGCCGAUUUUCCUCGAGCUCUCGGCUUCCGCACCAUCAGUUGGCUUGACCUCUUGGGCCCGGGACUCAUAUUUCAAGCAAUUGGAUUUGCAUGGCUUUUCUUCCUGCUUCUGCAAGAAUGGCGUGAUAAAAGAAGAGCCUCUAUGAUGCGUUGUAGCUCUCUUCCAUCUGGAGAUCAGUAG